UUUGUUCUCUUCAGCUGUUUGUGAUAUUAUCCUUAUUUUUGUUCUUGAUCUUCAGAUCUCCUUCCUCUACCUUUAGUUUGCUGCUUCUAAUCUAAUGGACUUGGGAGAAGCCACUUACGAGAAUGGUAUAUAAGCCAAGAGCAAAUGAACUGAAGUCUGAGGGGCUGGCUAUCCAAACAACAAAAGAUGGAGCAUCAGAUCAUUCACUGAAGAGUUUCUUGCUCUUACAAGACAAGGUAUCUGUUUUACUGGGAAGUCACAGAUGGAGUUAAUAAGUCCAGAAGAGGAGUAAGCACAAGGCACAGUACCUGAAACAAAAUUCUCCCUUGCGUUCUUUGGCUGAGUGAGGCCUAGGCAAGAGAAGGUACACUUGUCACUGAAUAGCAACAGACUGACCACAACACCUUUCCACUGGUCGCUUUGAGGACACAGAGUUUCUUAAGGUAGAAUGGGCUUAUCCAUCCUACCACUACCCAUGGCCUUGAAAGCUACAGAUGUAAGGGAUACUCCUUGACUGUGAUGAGUGAAAGGGACUUGGUCUUACAUAAAACUAAAGUAGGAGCCUCUCUUCUGUCUGGCACAGGAUGCUGGUACGUCAGGAGCUCUGAGAAGAGGCCCAGUGGAAUUGGUACUGAGAACUCUGAGAUGUCACUGUCCAGAUGCUAUAAUAUUUCUAAGGGAGAGUGAUAGGCUGUGUCUGAGAGUGCCAAAAGAAGCUAGAAAAAUCUGCUCUGCUAUCAACCUAAGUGCCUGCUCUGGGGCAAGGCUGAUAAGAAUGGAAAGUAAAUUUUGUUUUUAUCCUUUAACCUUCUAGACUCCCGUGUAGUGCCUCCUAUCAGUGGAACAUACAGGAAGCCCCUGGUAAAGAAAAAAAUAUUUUUGGCAGAAUGACAGCUAUAGUGUUAUAAAUACCAAAUCCAGAAGGGUUGAUCAGUGCUGAGAGACAAUAGCUUCAAAAUCAGCACAGUUUAGAUUGUAGCAAAAAACCCC
rnacentral:lncRNA from 1 species